UACGUAGGGUCCGAGCGCUGUCCGGAAUUAUUGGGCGUAAAGAGCUCGUAGGCGGCGUGACGCGUCUGAUGUGAAGGUCCACGGCUUAACUGUGGGUGUGCAGUGGAUACGGGCAUGCUUGAGGUAGGUAGGGGAGACUGGAAUUCCUGGUGUAGCGGCGAAAUGCGCAGAUAUCAGGAGGAACACCGGUGGCGAAGGCGGGUCUCUGGGCCUUACCUGACGCUGAGGAGCGAAAGCGUGGGUAGCGAACAGG
rnacentral:misc_RNA from 1 species